GACAGAGGGUGCAAACGUUGUUCGGAAUUACUGGGCGUAAAGCGCGUGUAGGCGGCCCUGCAAGUCGGAUGUGAAAUCCCACGGCUCAACCGUGGAAGUGCAUUCGAAACUGCAGGGCUAGAGUCCUGGAGAGGAAGGUGGAAUGCUUGGUGUAGAGGUGAAAUUCGUAGAUAUCAAGCGGAACACCGGUGGCGAAGGCGGGUCUCUGGGCCGAUACUGACGCUGAGGAGCGAAAGCGUGGGGAGCGAACAGG
rnacentral:rRNA from 1 species